GUGGGGAAUAUUGGGCAAUGGGCGAAAGCCUGACCCAGCAACGCCGCGUGAGGGAAGAAGGUUUUCGGAUCGUAAACCUCUGUCCUUAGUGAAGAGAAAGAGACGGUAGCUAAGGAGGAAGCCCCGGCCAACUACGUGCCAGCAGCCGCGGUAAUACGUAGGGGGCGAGCGUUGUCCGGAAUGAUUGGGCGUAAAGGGCGCGUAGGCGGCCUGUUAAGUCCGGAGUGAAAUUCCUGCUUUCAAGGUAGGAAGUGCUUUGGAAACUGGCGGGCUGGAGUGCAGGAGAGGUUAGCGGAAUUCCCGGUGUAGCGGUGAAAUGCGUAGAGAUCGGGAGGAACACCAGUGGCGAAGGCGGCUUACUGGACUGUAACUGACGCUGAGGCGCGAAAGUGUGGGGAGCAAACAGGAUUAGAUACCCUGGUAGUCC
rnacentral:rRNA from 1 species